ensembl:rRNA 5S_rRNA 5S ribosomal RNA
UUCAACAUUUAAACUGUUCAUUGCCAAUAUUAUCUGAUCUUGGAAGCUAAGCAUGAUUAGACCUAAUUAGUAUUUGAAUGAGAGAUUGCCUGGGAUUACCAGAUAAUGUAGAUU